rnacentral:rRNA from 1 species
AUUGAACGCUGGCGGCAUGCCUUACACAUGCAAGUCGAACGGUAACAGGUCUUCGGAUGCUGACGAGUGGCGAACGGGUGAGUGAUACAUCGGAACGUGCCCGAGAGUGGGGGGUAACGAGGCGAAAGCUUUGCUAAUACCGCAUACGAUCUCAGGAUGAAAGCAGGGGACCGCAAGGCCUUGCGCUCACGGAGCGGCGGAUGGCAGAUGAGGUGGUUGGUGGGAUAAAAGCUUACCAAGCCGACGAUCUGUAGCUGGUCUGAGAGGACGACCAGCCACACUGGGACUGAGACACGGCCCAGACUCCUACGGGAGGCAGCAGUGGGGAAUUUUGGACAAUGGGCGCAAGCCUGAUCCAGCCAUGCCGCGUGCAGGAUGAAGGCCUUCGGGUUGUAAACUGCUUUUGUACGGAACGAAAAGACUCUGGUUAAUACCUGGGGUCCAUGACGGUACCGUAAGAAUAAGCACCGGCUAACUACGUGCCAGCCGCCGCCGUAACAC